rnacentral:lncRNA from 1 species
UAUGAUCUUUUUUAUAUGUUGUUGGAUUCGGUUGGCUGAAAUUUUGUCACGAAUUUUUACAUCUAUAUUCAUUAAAGAUAUUGGCCUAUAAUUUUAUUUUUUUGGUGGUAUCUUUGUCUGAUUUUGGUAUUAGGGGGUAUUAGAAUGUCUUUGGGAUCAUUCCUUUUUCUUUAACCUUUUGGAAAAGUUUAAGAAGGAUAGGUAUAAGUUCUUCUUUGUAUGUACCUGUGAAGCCAUCUGGUCCUGGACUUUUGUUUGUAGGUGGUGUUUUUAUUACAUGUUCAAUUUCAUUUCUAGUGAUCGGUCUGUUCAGUUGAUCUAUUUCUUCUUGAUUCAGUUUUAGCAUGCUAUAUAUCUCUAGAGCAUUUCUUCUAGGUUGUCCAAUUUGUUGGCAUGUAAUUGAGAUUUAUCCUUUUUUAUUUCUUAUUUUCUUUUUUGAGUGUUUUUUUUUCUCCUCUUGGUGAGUCUGGCCAGAGGUUUGUCAAUUUUGUUUACCCUUUUAAAGAACAAGCUCUUGGUUUUUUUCUAUUGUUUUUUUAAUCUCUAUUUUACUGAUUUUUCUCUCUGAUCUUUAUGAUUUCUUUCCUUUUGCUGACUUUGCAUUUUGUUUGUUCUUCUUUUUCCAAUUCUUUUAGGUGGUAGGUGAAGUUGUUGAUUUGAGAGUUUUCUUCUUUUCUGAGAAAGGCGUGUAUUGCUAUGAACUUCCUUCUAAGAACUGCUUUUGCUGCAUCCAUAGAUUUUGAAUGUUGUGUUUUCAUGAUCAUUUGCCUCAUUUUAAUUUCCCUUUUGAUUUCCUCAUUGACCCACUGAGUUUUAGUAGCAUGUUAUUUAGUCUCCAUGUAGUCAGUUCUUUCUCAUUUCUUUUCCUGUGGUUGAUUUCCAGUUUCAUGCCAUUGUGGUCAGAGAAGAUACUUGAAAUAAUUUCUAUAUUCUUAAAUUUGUUGAGGUUAGUUUUGUGGCCCAGUAUGUGGUCAAUCCUUGAGAAUGUUCCAUGUGCACUUGAAAAGAUGAAUAUUCUGUUUUUUUUUAAUGUAAUGUUCUGAAAAUGUCCAGUCUAAGUUUUCUAUUGUGUCAUUUAGGAUCUCUGUUGCCUUAAUGAUUUUCUGUCUGGAGGAUCUGCCCAUUGAUGUGACUGUGAUGUUAGAGUCUCCUACUAUUAUUGUAUUCCAAUCAAUUUCUUCUUUUAUGUCUGAUAAUAUUUGUUGUAUGUAGUUUGGUAUUCCUGUAUUAGGGACAGGUUAUAUUGAUGAGUGUAAUAUGCUCUUCUUGAAUUAAUCCUUUUAUCAGUAAAUAGUGUCCUUAUUUGUCUUUCUUUAUGGCCUUUGUUUUAAAGUCUAUUUUGUCUGAUAUGAAUAUUGCAACUCCUGUCUUCACAUGAAUUAUCUUUUUCCAUCACCUCACUUUCAAUUCAUACAUGUCCUUUGCCCUAAGAUGAGUCUCUUGUAGGCAGCAUAUUGUAGACUCUUGUUUUUGUUUUUUUAUCUAGUCUGCCACUCUAUAUCUUUUGAUUGGAGCAUUCCAUCCAUUGACAUUUAAGGUAAUUAUUGAUAAAUAUGUAUUUAUUGCCAUUUUAAACCUUGUUUUCUAGUUGAUUCCAUGUUUCUCUUUUGUUCCUAACUUUUUUUAGUUGGAUAAUUUCCUUUUAUUUUAUGCCUGUAUCAUCUUCCUUUUAGUUUUUGUGAAUGUAUUGUUUGGUUUUGAUUUGUGGUUGUCCUGUUUUUCAAGUAUGUUAACCGCCUCCUAUAUGUGCUUGCUUUAGCUUGUGUUUAUCACAGCUUUUACAAUAGGUCCCCCCACCCCCCGCUUUUAGAUCUGUAUACUGGCUUAUUUAAGUGUUUGAUUUCCAAUAGUGAUUUCCUUCAUCCUGUUUCUCCUUACUUCUUUCCUUAUUUAGAGGAGCCCUUUCAGUAUUUCCUUUAGAAUGGAUUUAGUGUUGCUGUACUCUUUCAGGUUUUGUUUGUUGGAGAAAUUCUUUAUUUCCACUUCUAUUUUAAAUGAUAUUCUUGCCAGGUUGUUUCCCUUUUAGAACUUGAAUAUAACUUGAAUAUACUCUCUUCUGACUAUAGUGUUUCUGUAGGAAAAAAAAGCUGAUAGUCUUAUGGGGGUCCCCUUAGAAUUAACUCUUUGUUUUUCUCUUGCUGCCUUUAGAAUCCUCCCUUUUUCUUUAACUUUUGCCAUUUUUAUUAUAAUAUGUCCUGGUAUAGGCCUGCUUGGGUUCAACUUGUUUGGGGCCCUCUGUGCUUCCUGUAUCUUGAUAUCUGUUUCCUUUAGAUUUGGAAAGUUUUCAGCCAUAAUUUCUUCAAACAUAUUUUCAAGCCCCCUUUCUUCUCCUUCUGGAAUCUCUAUUAUGUGUAGAUUGGCCCAUUUUAUAUUAUCCCAUAAAUUUCUCAUAUUGCUUUCAUGUUUUUUUCAUUUGGCUUUCUGUCUGCUGUCCUGAUUGGAUGAUUUCCAUAUUCUAUCCCCCCAGUCACUAAUUCGUUCCUCUGCAUUAUUCAUUCUGCUCUUCAGUACCUUUACUCAGCUUGCAUCUCUGAAAAUGUAUUUUCUAAUUUUUCUUGGUUCCUCCUUAUAUUUUCUAUUUCCUUUCUAAAGUAAUCUGCAUUACUGUUCAUAUUUGCUUUUAAUUCCAUCAGUAUUUUCACUAUCCCCUUUUUGAAUUCAGUGUCUGUUAGACUGCAGAGGUCUCUUUCAUUGUUCCUUCAAGGGAAUUCUCCUGUUCUUCUAACUUGGAAUGGUUCUUGAGCUUCUUCAUUUUGCUUAUAUUUUUCUUAUUCUGUGAGUUUAGGUAAAACCAACUACUGUAGUCUUGGAGGGCUAUGUGUAUGCAAAAGCACCCCUGGGUAUUUUGUGAGGGCUUACUCUUUAUUUUUGGCUUGAGGGCUGCUUUUGGUUUGGAUGCUUUGUGUCUCUUUCCUCAGUGUGUGAAGUCUGUUAUUUCCUUGAUAGUGUGUUGCACGUGCUUCAGGGAGAUGGAGGCAACGGGCAGGGCUAGUAGCCAGCAUCUGGUUGCAAGCCCUUGACAGUGGCAAGACCUGUGGGAAGGUGGCACAGGCUUCUCCUAGUUGCAGGCCCCUGGGAAGUGCCGGUGACCUUCAGACAGGUGUAGGUGGCACCUGGAAUGUUUGGCAGUGGCAGGGCAUGUGUCUUCCCAGGGGGAAGAGUGGUGGUGGCCAUUCUGACAAGUGUGAGGUAAUAGCUCAUUGUAGUUUUGAUUUGCAUUUCCCUGGAUGACUUUGUUUUUUGCUGUGUUUACUUGUGUGUUUUUCUAUUUCCUAUUAUGCGUAUGUUAACUUUUAAGAAAUAAAUGUUACUUUAAAAAUCUAAAAAAGUAAUUACAAAGAAAAAAUAGAUACAUUGACCUACAUUAAAAAUUUGUUGGGUAUAUAUGAAUAAAGAUGAAAUUAUGAUUAUCAAAGACAUUACUGAGACAGUGAACUGUAAAGUCACAGAUUAGGACAAGAUAUUUGCAAUAACUGAGGAAUGUUUUUCUAUUUGGGAGAUAUAGGUAUAUAAAAAUCAUAUCUAUAUUAUCUUUUGUGUCACUGGGAAGCAAUAAUUUUGAAAUGCAUGAAAUUGACAAAUCCCUACAAAAUAUAACUUAAUGAAAUAUACCCAGAAUUUAAAAAAUUCCUAUAAAUAUUAAUACUGAUUUAAUUUUCAAAAAUAUUCCAUCAAGGACAGCCACAGACUCAUAAAACUUCACUGAAAAUGUCUACAAAAUAUUGAAGGAACACUAUAAAAUGACUCCUAGAGAGCAGAUGCUACCUAUUUCCUUUAUGAGACUAGCAAAACCUCAAUGUCAAACCCAAUGAAGGCAAGAUGGGGAAGGAACAUUACAGGCUAAUAUUAUUUGAAUAUUGAUGUAAGCCAAAUCAGUCAAUAAGCAAAAAUAUCAUAUCAUGACUAAUUUGGGUUUAUCUUAGGAUUGAGUGGCUUUUCAUUCAGAACCCAUUUGCUCUAAGACAACACAUUGACUGAUGAAAGAAGAAACACCAUAUGAUUAUUCAAUUGAAACAAAAUAAGCAUUUGCUAAAAUUCACUCUCAUUAAUUAAAAAAUUCUAGCAAACUAGAAAUAAUAAUAUCUUUCAUCUGAUAAAAGGUCUCCAUAAAAUCCCCGGCAAUCAUUGAACUAAUAGUGAAAUGUACAGUUUUUUUUUUCUUUUACAGUGUUUUUGUUUGAGAACAAAACAGUACAAGAUAUGUGGAAAGCGAUAAUCACCAUUUCUCUUCAACACUAUACUGGAGACUUUUAUCCAGUGCAGUUAGGUAGGAAAUAGGAUUUAAGAUAUAAGUAUAGGAAAAGAGGGAAUAAAACUGAAUAUUUGAGACACCAUAGCAUACAUAGAGAAUGCCCAAGAACCUGCAGAUUAAUUACCACUAUUAAUAAGAUAGUUUGGGGUUCCGGUCAUGGCUCAGCAGAAACGAAUCUGACUAGUAUCCAUAAGGAUGCAGGUUUGAUCCUGGCAUCACUCAGUGGGUUAAAGAUCCAGGUUGCCAUGAGCUGGGUGUAGUUGCAGACAUGGCUAGGAUCUGGUGUUGCUGUGGCUGUGGCACAGGCCAUUUGCUACAGCUCCGAUUUAACCCUAGCCUGUGAACCUCCAUAUGCUGCAAGUGCAGCCAUAAAAAGAU